UACAGAGACUGCAAGCGUUAUUCGGAUUCACUGGGCGUAAAGGGUGCGCAGGUGGCCGUGUGUGUCAGAUGUGAAAUCCCGGGGCUUAACUCCGGAACUGCGUCUGAAACUACACGGCUAGAGCAUUGGAGAGGGUAGUGGAAUUCACGGUGUAGCAGUGAAAUGCGCAGAUAUCGGGAGGAACACCAAUGGCGAAGGCAGCUUGCUGGGACGGUACUGACGCUGAGGCGCGAAAGCGUGGGGAGCAAACAGG
rnacentral:rRNA from 1 species